GGAAUAGGAUUGGUUCAUAAGGUGAUUUCUAAUCAAGUCUUAUUUUGGUUCAAUUCCAAACUGUUCCU
rnacentral:tRNA from 2 species